UCAUUGUCGAAACCUGCACAGCAGAACGACCCGCGAAUUGGUUACAACCGACGGGGGGCGGGGGGCGCUCCUCGUUCGCCCCCCUCGCCCCCCCCCUGCGGGUGGGGACCUCGCGUCUCCUGCCCGCAAACCGAACCCCGGCGCGGAACGCGCCAAGGAAAUCUAACCAAGAGAGCCAUGCCGGAGGCCCCGGACACGGUGCGCCCCCGGCGUCGGCGUCUUAUGAAUUAUUCAAAACGACUCUCGGCAACGGAUAUCUAGGCUCUCGCAUCGAUGAAGAACGUAGCGAAAUGCGAUACUUGGUGUGAAUUGCAGAAUCCCGCGAAUCAUCGAGUUUUUGAACGCAAGUUGCGCCCGAAGCCAUUCGGCCGAGGGCACGUCUGCCUGGGUGUCACGCAUCGUUGCCCCCCCAAACUCCGGUUCGGGCGGGGCGGAAGUUGGCCUCCCGUGCGUGCCUGCGUGCGCGGUUAGCCCAAAAGCGAGUCCUCGGCGACGAGCGCCACGACAAUCGGUGGUUUUUUUACCCUCGUUCCUCGUCGUGCGUGCCCCGUCGCCCGAACGUGCUCUUGCGACCCUUACGCGUCGCCUCGGCGGCGCUCCCAACGCGACCCC
rnacentral:misc_RNA from 1 species